rnacentral:rRNA from 1 species
CUUCGGGGUGUGACUGCGUACCUUUUGUAUAAUGGGUCAGCGACUUAUAUUCUGUAGCAAGGUUAACCGUAUAGGGGAGCCGGAGGGAAACCGAGUCUUAAUUGGGCGUUAAGUUGCAGGGUAUAGACCCGAAACCCGGUGAUCUAGCCAUGGGCAGGUUGAAGGUUGGGUAACACUAACUGGAGGACCGAACCGACUAAUGUUGAAAAAUUAGCGGAUGACCUGUGGCUGGGGGUGAAAGGCCAAUCAAACCGGGAGAUAGCUGGUUCUCCCCGAAAGCUAUUUAGGUAGCGCCUCGUGAAUUCAUCUCCGGGGGUAGAGCACUGUUUCGGCUAGGGGGCCAUCCCGGCUUACCAACCCGAUGCAAACUGCGAAUACCGGAGAAUGUUAUCACGGGAGACACACGGCGGGUGCUAACGUCCGUCGUGAAGAGGGAAACAACCCAGACCGCCAGCUAAGGUCCCAAAGUCAUGGUUAAGUGGGAAACGAUGUGGGAAGGCCCAGACAGCCAGGAUGUUGGCUUAGAAGCAGCCAUCAUUUAAAGAAAGCGUAAUAGCUCACUGGUCGAGUCGGCCUGCGCGGAAGAUGUAACGGGGCUAAACCAUGCACCGAAGCUGCGGCAGCGAACGUAUCACCCAAGACAACUUUACGGAGUUGACGAUUGACGGAGCGAAGCGACGUCAAAGCGUUCAUUAAAGUCGAGUUGGCUUAGGGAUACGUUCGUUGGGUAGGGGAGCGUUCUGUAAGCCUGUGAAGGUGUGUCGUGAGGCAUGCUGGAGGUAUCAGAAGUGCGAAUGCUGACAUAAGUAACGAUAAAGCGGGUGAAAAGCCCGCUCGCCGGAAGACCAAGGGUUCCUGUCCAACGUUAAUCGGGGCAGGGUGAGUCGACCCCUAAGGCGAGGCCGAAAGGCGUAGUCGAUGGGAAACGGGUUAAUAUUCCCGUACUUGGUGUUACUGCGAAGGGGGGACGGAGAAGGCUAUGUUGGCCGGGCGACGGUUGUCCCGGUUUAAGCGUGUAGGUGUGUGUUCCAGGUAAAUCCGGUUCACUUUAACACUGAGGCGUGACGACGAGGCACUACGGUGCUGAAGCAACAAAUGCCCUGCUUCCAGGAAAAGCCUCUAAGCAUCAGGUAACACGAAAUCGUACCCCAAACCGACACAGGUGGUCAGGUAGAGAAUACCAAGGCGCUUGAGAGAACUCGGGUGAAGGAACUAGGCAAAAUGGUGCCGUAACUUCGGGAGAAGGCACGCUGACACGUAGGUGAAGUGAUUUACUCAUGGAGCUGAAGUCAGUCGAAGAUACCAGCUGGCUGCAACUGUUUAUUAAAAACACAGCACUGUGCAAACACGAAAGUGGACGUAUACGGUGUGACGCCUGCCCGGUGCCGGAAGGUUAAUUGAUGGGGUCAGCGUAAGCGAAGCUCCUGAUCGAAGCCCCGGUAAACGGCGGCCGUAACUAUAACGGUCCUAAGGUAGCGAAAUUCCUUGUCGGGUAAGUUCCGACCUGCACGAAUGGCGUAAUGAUGGCCAGGCUGUCUCCACCCGAGACUCAGUGAAAUUGAACUCGCUGUGAAGAUGCAGUGUACCCGCGGCAAGACGGAAAGACCCCGUGAACCUUUACUAUAGCUUGACACUGAACAUUGAGCCUUGAUGUGUAGGAUAGGUGGGAGGCUUUGAAGUGUGGACGCCAGUCUGCAUGGAGCCGACCUUGAAAUACCACCCUUUAAUGUUUGAUGUUCUAACGUGGACCCGUAAUCCGGGUUGCGGACAGUGUCUGGUGGGUAGUUUGACUGGGGCGGUCUCCUCCUAAAGAGUAACGGAGGAGCACGAAGGUUGGCUAAUCCUGGUCGGACAUCAGGAGGUUAGUGCAAUGGCAUAAGCCAGCUUGACUGCGAGCGUGACGGCGCGAGCAGGUGCGAAAGCAGGUCAUAGUGAUCCGGUGGUUCUGAAUGGAAGGGCCAUCGCUCAACGGAUAAAAGGUACUCCGGGGAUAACAGGCUGAUACCGCCCAAGAGUUCAUAUCGACGGCGGUGUUUGGCACCUCGAUGUCGGCUCAUCACAUCCUGGGGCUGAAGUAGGUCCCAAGGGUAUGGCUGUUCGCCAUUUAAAGUGGUACGCGAGCUGGGUUUAGAACGUCGUGAGACAGUUCGGUCCCUAUCUGCCGUGGGCGCUGGAGAACUGAGGGGGGCUGCUCCUAGUACGAGAGGACCGGAGUGGACGCAUCACUGGUGUUCGGGUUGUCAUGCCAAUGGCACUGCCCGGUAGCUAAAUGCGGAAGAGAUAAGUGCUGAAAGCAUCUAAGCACGAAACUUGCCCCGA